GGGUAAAUUCAAGAGGCUCAAGAGGAAUUGCAAGAGUGGGGAAAAUGUGGAGACAAUUUUUUGAGGGAGAACCAUCCUCUGCAUUGUGUUGCCCCUGGCUGCCUUCCAUCUUGGAAGCACAAAGAAAUUAUAAAAAAGCUUUAACAUUGCAAACAGAUAUAUUAAAAAGCAACCUGAAAAGUUUUUGCUACCUGCUAAUAAAGACUCCAGUCCUGCAAGAUCACGUGACACCUGAAGUGGUUCAAGAGGCUGAAUUCUGCACCCUGAUUUAAGUGUCUCAUCAACUCUUGCAGGGAAGCAUGGAAACCUGAAUUUGAGUCCUGCAGUUGUACAGAUUUAGACACUGGCAGUAAACCAGCUGCUACUCUAUAGAAGGCCACAGCCUGGGGAAAAGUUCAGGCUGAAGAAACCCAACAUAGAAAAAGACCAACGCAGCAAAGCAAAGAUUAAUUGAUUUUAUUGCUAUCACAAUCAAGCUUGAGAGUGCUGAGAAAAACAACAGCACAAAGCAGAAAAGAGUCAUUAUUAAAGCUGCAAAACAAAGGUGGGUCCCAGUUUUAAAAUGUGGAUAUCCUUGUCUCUCUUUUGGACAGGAAAUCCAAAUGCAAAUACAUGUGAUAUACCUAAGUAUCAGUUAGAACAUCCAAAUAUAGGGUUUACUAAAGUAUCCCAUAUUUGAAAAUUGGGCCUGCAUUCAAAUACAAGAUGGAUCCAAAGAUGGCUCCAUUUAUAUGCCUACAGUACAAAGCAGCCUAUUCUGAACUCAGUCUGUUGGAAUACUUCCAAUUGUAUACUAUGAGCUUU